GGCGGCUCCGCGGCCGCUGCCGAAGCCACCGCCGACCUCUCAAUUAGCCUUCUCUUUGUUUUCUGGUUCGUCUCCAGCUGCAGGCGAGCCGCGACUUGCAGAUUCGCGGGGGCGCGUAUCCCGGACCCCAGCGACGGGCGGAGCCGACCCAGGCGCGUGCUGAACACCGUGGUGAACGUCAACGAGACGCACGUGCGGUGGGGACGCAGCACGAGAGCAGACCGGGGUAACUUGGAGGUGAAGCAAAACAGUGAGGCACUGAAACGGUGACUGCAGAACUCAGAAGAAUGAUCUUGGCUUUAGAUACUAGUGUUAAAAUUAUCAGAAAAUAGCCUAAUAGGUGACGCAUGCUACUGUGUUCUUUACUUUUGUGAAAGCUGAAAAAAAAAAAGAAAAAUAUUAAUGACUAUGUGUCACGAAUAACAUCAUCACCAGUACUUUAGAAUACAAACUUUCCCUAU